GAUGAACGCUGGCGGCGCGCCUAACACAUGCAAGUCGAACGGUUAAAGCAUCUUCGGAUGUGCAUAAAGUGGCGAACGGCUGAGUAACACGUGGGCAACCUGCCCCUCGCAUCGGGACAGCCUCGGGAAACCGUGGUUAAUACCGGAUACUCCGCCACCCCCGCAUGGGGGAGGCGGGAAAGCCCAGACGGCGAGGGAUGGGCCCGCGGCCUGUUAGCUUGUUGGUGGGGCAGUGGCCCACCAAGGCGAUGAUGGGUAGCCGGGUUGAGAGACCGACCGGCCAGAUUGGGACUGAGACACGGCCCAGACUCCUACGGGAGGCAGCAGUGGGGAAUCUUGCACAAUGGGCGAAAGCCUGAUGCAGCGACGCCGCGUGCGGGACGAAAGGCCUUUCGGGUCGUAAAA
rnacentral:rRNA from 1 species